UCUAUUUCUAUAAGGAAGGACUUUGGUGGAGACGUGGCUCUUAUAACUGAUGUUUAUGUAAUGGGACCACAAUUGAACUUUGAGGAUUUAGAGCAAUCUAAUUCUGCAACCUUGAACUUGGCCUUUCUAGGCGAAAUGAAAUAGAUAACAUCCAAUCUUUAAGGAGCAUUUGCUAUGUUCUGGGUGCUCUACCAAGUGUGUCAAGGCAGUUUCUCAUUGAACCCUCACAGCAACCCAGUGAUACGGAUGAAUUAUUCCUGAGAAAAAAGCAGCGAUAGGUGAAGACACUUGUUCAAGGUCACAUAGUCCUAGCCCCUGUGAUAGAGCCCGGUCUGAAACCAGGCCCAAAGGACUCCGUGCUUUUAAGCAACACUCCAUAUUUCACAGUGGGAGCUCCAUGUCUAUGAAAUGGAAGCACUAACCUGUGUUGGUCCGAAACAGAUUUUAGCUUACUCAGGUCCAUGGCAACCUGAGCGUUUGGGUGGUGCUCUGAUGCCAACCCCUUUAUAGCUCAAUCUUCCCUUGUCUCCAUAUUAUUUACUCAGAAUCUUAUUUGCAUUUGCGGAGGAAGCUGCUAGUGGAGAAGCUGGCAGGAGCCUUAAUGAAGCCAGGUGGGACCCAUUGAGACGGGGCUGCGUUGAACUAACUCAUGAGGCGCUGAAGCCAGCUGUCAGCAGGCUUAAUGAAAGGUUAAGAGGAAUCCGGCAAUGGGUGGCUGGGGAGAGUCUUUGUCUCUCUUAAGAAAACAAAAAGUUGAGAUGUGGGCUCCCUGGGUGGAGGCCAGAGCAGAAGGAGGAAGCCACUUGUAACCGAAAGACUGCGUUUGAAAUAGAGUUUCAUUUAGAUUUGUGAACAUGUUACCGUCUUAAAAAAAAAAAAAAAAAAAAGAAAGCACUCUGAGUUCUCAGCUCUCUGAGCAUCAAAGGACAGCAAAGGGAAGUUUUCCGGAAUAUGAUGAAUGCUAAUGCCACUGCUAAGGAGCUUGGGGAGCCUUGGAGAUGGCUGCCUGCAAAACAGAAGAGUCGUAUUGAAUGUUGCAGCUGCCACUGUGCCCCCUCCAGGGUAGUCUACUCGCAAGGAAGUGGAGCUCAUAUAUGAGAAUGAAGAACAAACCCCUGUGACGUUGGUUGAGUCUUAAUUAUGCCAAGACUGUAAGUAUGACCUUAGACUAUUCAUGCUCCAUGAUAUGAAGAGUUAAAUUCCUAUUUUGCUCAAGUUAGUUCAAAUUGGGUUUCCUGCCAUUCGAAACGGAAAGAGUUUUAAUUAAAAUGGGUAGUCAACUCCCCAUUAACAGUAGUAUUCACACAGAGUAAUCAUACUUCAGAGUAAGUAUGAAGGGGAUGCCUAGGUUAUGUGAAAGACUGGCUUGAGGACUUCCAUCUCCAAAUUCUUGGCUUCUCCGAAACUCUCUUUUAUUUAGCUUUUGUUCUACCCAAUGGACUGGUA
rnacentral:lncRNA from 1 species